ACCAUGCCUUCUUUCAUCACACAAAUUAUUUUGUGUAUUGAAUAAUCCACACCAAAGCCUCCUAUUGUUGCCCAUUAGUGAUAGGAUUAGGUUGGAUUGAUUUUAAAUUCAAAGUAGUUUGAAUUUUGAAACCUAUGCUGAUCUAUAUCCUCCCACACAUCGGCCCCUUGUGAAGGGUGCCCAAUAUGUGUGACAAAAGGAAAUAAAUCCUAAUUUUCUCCAUGCCAAAAAAAGCCUUGGUCAGCCUCUUCUUUCAUCUGGAUAUAGAUGCAUUAAGUGGCAUUUGAUU
rnacentral:lncRNA from 1 species